GGGAGAUACCAUGAUCAGGAAUGUGGUUUUCCCAGGACAAGGAUUAUCCAUUUCUCUCAGGUUGUGCUUGAUCCCUGUGAUUUCCACAAAUGAGGGAAACUUAA
rnacentral:snRNA from 1 species